GCCAGACAGCCAUGGGAGAGAGCUUUUAAGCUGGUUUUGCACAAUUUCACUGCAUGUGAGUUUAUUUCUUGCCCUUUUCUUAUAUUUUUUGUAUUUUUAAGACUUUUGCAAUUAGGUCCAAUCAUCUAAUUCAUUAGUUUUUGAUUUGGUGGGUGAAAUUGGAAGUUACCCUGGCUGAGUAAGGGCAGUAUAUGAUGAAUUAUUAUGAAAUUGAAGUUCUAAUUUCAUAUUAAGGUUGUUUUAUUAAGUCAUUUUGAUAGAAAAUGGUAUUUAGGACCUAAUUGUGAAAAAGUUGUGAAUUAGAUGUUAGUGUUGAAAUUCAGAAUAUCAAAGGUUGUGAAAUAAUUUAUAAUGAUAAAAUAAAAUGUUAAUUGAGAAAAAAAUUAGUUCAAUUGAUGGGUGAAAUGAGCAGGGACUAAAUUGUAAAAACUAUAAAUUUUGGGGUAAAAGUGCAAUUUCAAAAUUUGAACAGCAUAAAUUGUGAAGUGAAAUAGAAUUCAAAUAAAUGCUAAUGAGUAGAAAUGCUUUAUAUUAUAGAUCAAGAAUCCAAAGAAGAACGAGAAAAAGAAAAAGUUGCGGAAUAGUCCCUAAAUUUCAAUAUCUUCUACAAAUCAGCCAGGUAAGUUCAUAUGUAAAUGUUGGUAACAUAGUUAUUAUUUUAAAUAUUUUUAUGUUAUUUAAAUGAUAUGAUAAUUAUUAUGAAAUAUUAUACUCGUGAUAAUUGUUUGAUAAUAUGUCAAAUUAUGUGAUAUACUUGGAAAAUGUGAAAUACUACCGAGUAUCGGUAUCAGCAUUCCGUAGGAGAAGGUUGGGACACAUGAUUGGGAAAAAGGUCCCGUUGAACCUUAGGAAUGAAUUAGGAUACAAGUGACAUGUCACUAGGAUGGUUGAACAUCCGAACUCGUUGAGUUGAGUCCGAGUUCACUUAUGGAUGCGAAUGUCCGAACUCGUUGAGUUGAGUCCGAGUUCGAGAGAUGUAACUAGGCAUCCGAGCUCGUUGAGUUGAGUCCGAGUUCACUUAUGGAUGCGAACGCCCGAGCUCGUUGAGUUGAGUCCGAGUUCGCUUAUGGGCGGGUUACAUGGUAGCUUGGCUACAUAUGUGGCACUUAUGUGCAAACUUUCCAUGUAUCUGAAUUAUAUUCCGAUGUGUUCAACGGGUAAAAUUCUACUCAAAUGGAGGAAUACUAGAGAUGAAAGGGACGUAUUGGUAAGUGUCAUAAAAUGAAUACUUUGAACAGGUUUGUACUUAACCCUCGGGUUGAAAACUCGACAUAACAACAAUAUGGUAAGAUUGUAAAUGAAAAUGUGAUAUGAAUGUCUCGGUGAUGAUUAUGAAAAUGAUGUUUUAUGUUUGCUUAUAUAGUUGUAUUACUUGCUAUUUGCAUGUGAACUUACUAAGCAUUUAUGCUUACUCCCUCCUUUUCAUUCCUUGUAGUUUUGACAAGCCAGCUCGGAAAUCAGGAACGGUCGGAGGCUCGCUCACACUAUCCGUGUAUCAUCUUGGUAUAACGGUUUGUAUAUUUUGAGCAUGGCAUGUAUAGCAUUAUAAUCAUUUUGUGUAUAUAGUCUUAUGAUAUGGUUAUUGAGUGGUAUGAAAAUGCUUGAUAAUGAUUAGCUGUUGGAAUGGCUAAUCAAGGACAUAUUUGGUGUUAUGUAUGCCUAAAUGCUAGUUAUUCCAUGGAAAUCAUGAAAUAGGUAAAAUUUACCAUAAAAUAGAUUAAGACAGUAGCAGUGACGUGAGUUUGAAAAAUCAUUAAAAAUAGUAGAGAUAUAAUUAGAUGAUGAAUAAAAUAUGGAAUUGAAGAAUUAUGAGUCUAUUUUCAUAUGAAUGGAACAAAACAGGUAUAUGAGUUAUAUUUUAUGAGAUGUUUAAAUUUUUGUGAAACAGGGCCAGAGCGAUUUCUGGAUCCCCUGUUCUGACUUUGUAAAUUCACCAUAAAUUGUAAAAAGAUAAUUAGAAGUCAUUAUUUAUAUGUAAAAAUUCAUUAUUGAGUCUAGUUUUAUUAGAAACAAACGGCAUAGUCAUUGAAACUCUGUAAAGGGAGAUAUCUGAUUCAUAAUCCACAGAGGUCAGAGCAGUCAAACCCUGAAACAAGGGAUACUUUAACUAAUAAACUGUACUGAUUGGCCCGAGAAAAAAUUCUAGAAAAAAAUUAGUAAAUAGAUAUAUGAGUCUAGUUUAAGGAAAAAUUUACGGAAUUAGAUUUCGAAUUUUAGAACUCGAGAUAUGAAUUUUUAAGCAACUGUGAUGCAGUUGGACAGCUUGUCUGAAUUUGUUUAAGUGCUCAAAUAAGUUUAGUAAUGCCUCGUGCUCGACUCCGGCGACGGUCUCGGGUAAGGGGGCGUUACAGAGAAUUUAUGUAAAAUUUAGGGGAAAAAUGAUAAUUUUGCCUAGGAUAUAAAUUGAGUCCAAAUGAGUAUGAAAUCUGAUAAAUUGAUGUAAAAUCUACUCGUAUAGAUCUGGAUAGACCAAAUUCGGAACUAGAAUGAGGAAAGAGGAAAAUGUCGGAUUAGUAGAUUUUACUUAGACGAACAUUGUCGAGGUAAGUUCAUGUAACUAAAUUGUGUUUAUUUACAUGCUUGCAUUGAUUGUGUAAAAUGAUUACAUAUUCGAUCAAGCCCGAUAAAUUAAAAGGUUUAAAUUAAAUGAUAAUGUCUGAUAGCUGAUAAAGGAUAAACGAUGAGAAUGUUAUUUACAUGCUUGAAAUGAAUGUGGAAUGUGUUUAUUUGAAUUAUAUGAAUGUUGUGGAUGUAUGAAAUAAUCACAUGCCCGGUAAUGCUUGAGAAAAAUGUUAAAAUCCCGGUUGAAUAAAAUGGAAAUUCGAUGGAUAUGUGAUUUCCUGAAAUGAAUGAGGUCUUGCAUUUGUUGCUGACAGGAUUUAGCUCGGAUGAGUAAUCCUAUUGACCUUAUUACAUAAAGGAUUUAGCCCAAAUGGGUAAUCCUGAUAUAAGUCCUCUCGAGCAUAUGUUAUGGAUUGGAUUUAGCCCGAACGAGUAAUCUAGAUCAAGCUCCUUAGAGCAUAUGUCAUAAAAAGGAUUUAGCCUGGACUAGUAAUCCUAUUGUAUACAUGUGUGGAUCGAGUAUACUCCCUGAAAUAAUACCUUAUGAGUACCAUUGAAUAUGAAUUGACAAAUCCUGACUCGUACACCACGUGUGUACUUGUGUAUCCAUCGAUAUUUCAGAUAAAUUCAACGGGUAAAAGUUAUUGACAUGAGAAGAUAUGAAUAAGAAAUGAGUUAUUACACAUAUCAACCUGAAAUACGUGAUAAUUGAUAUAUGGAAAUAUGAAAUGAUGAUAUUGUAUAUGGAAUUUAUUUGAUGAGUAUGUACACCGUUGAUUAGACUUAUACACCUUGAGUGUACUAAUCAUGACAUUGACAUUCCAAGUAAUAUGAGUAAAGUUCUAAUAUGAAAUGAUCUGAACAUUGAAAUGAACUAGUAUCAAAUUAUACUUGUAAUAAUGAGAUGAAAUGAUCUGAACAUUGAAAUGAACUAGUAUCAAAUUAUACUUGUAAUAAUGAGAUGAAUUAUGCAUGUUGAAUGAAUACAUGUUAUAGAAAGUAUAUGUGCUUGGAAUCUUGAUUGUUGUUGAGCCCAUAUAUGUUUUGAUGUUAUUAUGGAUUAUAUGACUAACAAGGGCAAUGAGGAUGUGUGUGUAGGACUUGAGGUCAAAUUGAUUGAAUAUGCUUUACAUAGUUACCUCAUAAUAGAAUGAAUGGCAAGUUAAGUACUAUGUUAUACGUACUUAUUAAGUAUUUUAUGCUUACUUAAUUUUAUUUUCCUGUUUUGUUGUAAAUCGGAAACUCGUUAGAUUAAAAGCUUGGCGGGGAUCACUCACACUAUCCAUUGGCCCAUGUCGGUACAAUAUGGUAAAUCAAUUAUGAUUGUAAUGGCAUAUAUAGGAUAUAUUGGUCAUAUUGGCAUGUAAAUGUAAAUGAUGCUUGUAAUCUAGCCAUUGGAAUGGCUAGUAAUGGUUUGUUUUAAAAUACUUGUAAUGUCAAACUAUGGUAGCUACAUAUAUGUUAAGUAGUUGAUCAAACUAUGUCUAACUUGAGGACUUAACUAAGGUUAAAUUAUAGACAUGUAUGCAUGAAUUGAUAUGCCAUGAUGAAUGAUGGAAUUACUUAAUUUGAAUGCUUGAAAUGGUUGGUAUUAGG
rnacentral:lncRNA from 1 species